rnacentral:rRNA from 1 species
UACGUAGGGGGCGAGCGUUGUCCGGAUUCAUUGGGCGUAAAGCGCUUUAAGGCGGUUCGCUAAGUCGGGUGUGAAACCUCCAGGCUCAACCUGGAGACGCCACUCGAUACUGACGUGACUAGAGUUCGGUAGGGGACCACGGAAUUCCUGGUGUAGCGGUGAAAUGCGCAGAUAUCAGGAGGAACACCAGUGGCGAAGGCGGUGGUCUGGGCCGAUACUGACGCUGUAGAGCGAAAGCGUGGGGAGCGAACAGG